rnacentral:sRNA from 10 species
CAACGAAAUAAAUCCCUUCGGGAUUUGUGAAAUGCCCUGCGGGCGUGAAAUACGCCUGCGGCGCAUGAAAUCGCUG